AUAGUUGGGGAUGUCUUAAUGGUUAAGAUGCUUAAGUAUUUUAACCGUAUCUCUCAAUGUUUGCUUUCCAUUAAAGAUUUGGAGUGGGGUAAUAGACAAGACAGUUGAAAGAAGAUGAGAUAAGCAGCUAAUUCAGCUGUAGGAUUGUCUUCACUGGGCCAGUGAGCACUGGAAAUUCUCACAGCAGGCAUAGAGUAUGUUGACUUUUCCAAUCAUAUAGGACUAUUAAGCUGUUCCUUGGCACACAUUUUGGGAAAUGCUACCAGAGUUUUCUUUUAAAGUUCAACCUAAAUUGCAGGAUGUCUUCAAACCUUUAAAAUAUUUAUCCACAAAUACAGACUUU
rnacentral:lncRNA from 1 species